rnacentral:rRNA from 1 species
GACGUAGGGCGCGAGCGUUGUCCGGAUUUACUGGGCGUAAAGGGCUCGUAGGCGGCCCACUAAGUCAGACGUGAAAUCCCUCGGCUUAACCGGGGAACUGCGUCUGAUACUGGAUGGCUUGAGGUUGGGAGAGGGAUGCAGAAUUCCAGGUGUAGCGGUGAAAUGCGUAGAUAUCUGGAGGAAUACCGGUGGCGAAGGCGGCAUCCUGGACCGACAUUGACGCUGAGGAGCGAAAGCCAGGGGAGCAAACGGG